GUAUGGGCGGGGUGCCAAACCACUCGUCAAGAUGACGAAUCGCCCUCUCAAGGCGGUAACGGCGGUUCGAAUCCGCUCGGGAGUACCA
rnacentral:tRNA from 1 species